rnacentral:lncRNA from 1 species
CUAUACCAUAUUCAAAUGAAAGAAUAAAGUUAUCAGCUUAUGCCGAUGAUAUUAUUGUUUUAGUUAAAGACCAAAAUGAUAUAAUGGUGUUAAAGAAUAAUAUUGAUCUUUUUGGCCUUAUUUCUUCGGCUAAAGUAAAUUGGUCAAAAAGUGAAGCGUUGAUGUGUGGUAAAUGGGUGGGAGGUCUUCCUAAGUUACCGGGAGGUUUGUCAUGGAAGAGUGAUGGAAUAAAGUAUUUGGGAGUCUAUCUUGGGAAUAACUCUAUGCUGCAAAGAAAUUGGGAAGGUGUUUUAGAAAAGGUAAAAGGAAAAUUAGAAAAAUGGAAGUGGCUUUUGCCUAAGAUGUCAUUUAGAGGUAGAAUCAUCGUGAUUAAUAAUUUGGUUGCAUCAAUGUUAUGGCACCGUUUGAUUUGUGUUGAUCCUCCUAGUGGACUUUUGGCAAAACUGCAAGCUAUUAUUGUAGAUUUCUUCUGGAAUGGAUACCACUGGAUUGCCCAGAGCAUACUUUUUCUUCCUAAGGAGAAGGGAGGACAAGGACUUAUACAUCUGGCCAGCAGAAGAGCAGUUUUUCGAUUGUUGUUUAUACAGAGAUACUUAACCGGACCAGAGGUUUUGGUCUGGAGGAAAGUAGCUGACAUCAUUUUUAUUCGGGUCAGCGGUUUGAAUUUGAACUCUGAACUCUUUUUAAUGGACUCCAGCAAAAUACAGAUUAAUGCGUCGAUUCAAUUCUACAAAGGACUUUUUAACAUCUGGAAACUAUUUAAGAAACGGAGGCAGGACACAACGUCUCUGUACUGGUUGCUUAAGGAACCUCUUGUGCAUGGAGCGAGGUUGGAUGUGGCCUGUGAAGUCACACCAGGAUUAUCUCAAAUCUUAUGUUCAUCAAAGGCUUUAAGGUUGCAUAAUUUGAUGGACAUCGGUGGUGCUGACCUAAGCAAUACUCAGGCUGUUGCAUCCUUUUUGGGAGUUCAGUCUGUACGUCAAGUUAGGAAAAUUGCAGAUUUGUUAAUGCAAAGGUUGACAGUGGAAGAAAGAACACUGUUGAAGGAAUAUUAUAAUGGCAAGGUGGUUCCUGUUAAUUCAGAUCCGUUUCCAAAAAUUGUAAUUACUCCUGACUUAAAGGGCUUAAGUGGAUUUUUUUUAGACUUGGAAGGUCUGGAGGAUCUGAAUUUUCAAGAUGCUCGAAGUAAAGUGUUGUAUAAAUGCUGUGUUAAGGUUUUGAAUAAAACUUUUCUUAGGGAACGAAAGGAUACAGUAUGGAGAGAAAAGUUAGGGUUGAAAGAUGAUGUAAAACCUGUAUGGAGAAUUCUCUACAAACCACCUUUAGAAAAGUGUACAGGUGAUCUUCAGUGGAAGAUACUGCAUGGCACAGUUGCUGUUAAUGCGUUUGUGAAUGUUAUUCUCUCUCUCACACACACACACACACUCUCUUUCUCUCUCUCAUACACACACACACACACACAC